UGUUUGGAAUAUAGAGUCCAUAAGGGCAUUCCCUACUGUCUUCACUGAAAUAUGUACUAAAAAAUAUUUGCUGAAUUAAUCAAUGAAGGACAUCAUGCCUCUGUAUAGAAUUCUGUUUGUAAGAAUCACAAGUAUUUAAGAACCAAAUCAAGAACGCAAUCCCACUCACAACGGUCAUUAAAACAAUAAAAUACUUAGGAAUAUAGCUAACCAGGAAGGUCAAAGAUCUCUAUAGCUGAACUACGAUAUCAAUAAUAAUUAAAGUUAAUUGUA
rnacentral:lncRNA from 1 species